CAUAAUGUUAGAAAAAGAUAUUUUUUACUGGGUUGCAUGUGUUGUUACCAAUGAAUGUACAAUGGUGAACAAUUAUUAAGAUGAAUCUCUUUCAUCUAAGCUGUUCAGGUAAAGCCUCAGAUGGUGGAUGUGGGGACUCAAACCGAAAGGUUUGAGCAUCGCAGAUCAACUCCACUGGCCAGUCCUGAACAAAGUGAUGAUGAAUGGUCAUUUUCUGAUAUCAUCAACCAUUCUGGUGAUAUGUCAUGGAGUCCAGGGGAGGAGAUGUUGAGCGAGUCCUCUGAGGAGGAACCAGAAGAGCUGGAAUCUCUCAGUCACCCAAACUGUCCAGCUCCUAUGCUUGGAGCAGUCGGACCGUUCGCUGGAGGACCACACCAGGGACUUUCUCGAUCUGGCGUGCCUUACCCACUUCCCAGACCGCUAGCUCUGUACUAUUUCUUAUCACGGCCUGAGCGAACGGUGUAAGGCACGCCUACCAGCGAACAGUCCCAAAGAGGAUUUCACCGCUUUCGUGGAGUGGGUGCUGGAGAAAAAUGGAUCUCCGUUCACUGUCUGCCCCGCUGAGGAGGAUAUCUCCAGCCCCACUCCCGAAACAGAGACCAGCCAGCUGUCAUCCCGCUGCAUGGAGCAAGUGCCAGAGCCCACCACAGCGGCAGAGCCUGAGCCGGACAUGAUUACAGAGCCAAUCAUCGCCUCGGAGCUAGGACUCGAGAGCGCGACUGACCAGGUCUGUGAGCCGGCAACACCGUGCAUCGUGGGAGUACUGGUGGAGAUCGAGGGCUUGGAGGGAGGCCCCGCCCACACUCCUGCUGCUGAGGGUGAGCUGCCACUAGUCACUGGACCAUAUACAGAGGAACUUAUGGACAUUUUUGUAAUAAUUUAAUAGACUGGCUUAUUGCUAACAUUUAAGUUUAUCGAACUUACAGAACACACCAUUCUCUUUUAAAAAAGAUGGUAAUAAAUAAAAUGUGAUUCAUAUAACA
ensembl:lncRNA